rnacentral:misc_RNA from 1 species
GUGGCCUGAAUGCGGUUGGCAGCCAGUUUCAUUGACUGAUUUGAUCACUUCUACAUCUGUCAAAAAAGUUUAUCACAAGGCAACUUUAUGUGUCCACCCAGACAAAGUUCAACAAAAAGGGGCCACAGUUCGGCAGAAGUAUAUUGCUGAGAAGGUUUUUGAUCUUCUCAAGGAAGCAUGGAAUAAAUUCAACACAGAGGAACUAAGAUGAGUUCUAAGCAGAUAAUGAACUGUCCUUGCUUGGAAGUGAAGCAACGAUGUAUGUUGUUCUAGUAGUUGUGCGAAUCGGCUCGACUUUACUGUUUUGGUGGACUGACACGAUACUUAGUUGCUUCACCGGGAAUUAGUGCUACUCACGAAUGUGCAUGUUCACAAUCUCCGGCUAUGUAUUUAAAACCGAGAAGUUUUUUGUCCGUGUGAUUUUUAUUUAAUUUUUUGCUUUGCAGUUGUCACAUACAUCUGGGUAUCUUCAUCAGCAACUGUGGGUUUUUGUGCAUAAUUUGUUGAUUUAGUUUUAACACCAUGAUUGGUGUGUGUGGAAGUCACCAGUAAUCUCCAUGAAGUUGUUUGCCAAAAGUAGAGAUCUGGAUUUGUGGUGUUGGCCAGUAAAAAGUACUGGUAGAACUUUUUUUUUCUCCUUCUGUAGAUCGUGUCACUGUUGUUCAAAUUAAUUCCUUCUUAUUACGC